GCAGUCGUGGCCCAGUGGUUAAGGCGAUGGACUAGAAAUCCAUGGGGGUCUUCCCGCACAGGUUCGAGUCCUGUCAAUUGCG
rfam:Ixodes scapularis strain Wikel colony gcontig_1108378748448, whole genome shotgun sequence.